rnacentral:rRNA from 1 species
CCCUUAGAUGUCCGGGGCCGCACGCGCGCUACACUGAAGGAAUCAGCGUGGCUUUCUCCCUGACCCGAAAGGGUUGGGAAACCCGUUGAAUCUCCUUCGUGAUAGGGAUUGGGGCUUGAAAUUGUUCCCCAUGAACGAGGAAUUCCCAGUAAGCGCGAGUCAUAAGCUCGCGUUGAUUACGUCCCUGCCCUUUGUACACACCGCCCGUCGCUACUACCUAUUGAACGGUUUAGUGAGGGCCUCGGAUUGGUCUCGGCCCGCUCUUUACCGGGCGGCGCCGUUGGUCGAGAAGACGCUCGAACUUGAUCGUUUAGAGGAAGUAAAAGUCGUAACA